rnacentral:lncRNA from 1 species
AAGAUAUGAGGACUCCGUAAGACUCGACUACUUGGGGAAGAUUCUCCCUACUUUCACCCUCUUCCAAAUGAGCAGGAGAGAAGAAACAGCAGCUUCAAUGCAGAAAGGAGGGGGCCAGGAGAUGGGGGAGCCCAGCUGCCUUCAUGGGCAUGUACCCUGUGCAGUUUCAUGGAAAGGCUAUGGCCUGCUUUAAUUCUCUGCUGUUGUUGUCUUGAAAUUCUUCAUAAUUUUUCAACAAAUGGUCCCACAUCUUUAUUUUGCUCUGAGCCCCUUGAAUUAUGUCGCUGGUCUUGUUGGGGAGAAUCUUUGAAGAGAGCCUGUGACCCUUCCACGGUCUGACCUGGUGUGUGUUGGCUGACUUGAGCACUGACCAAGGUCAUAUUUGGUCAGAGAUCUUGACCCAGAUGCCACAGACAGAGAAAAAUUUGAUGCUACUAAACUGUGUGGCAGCCAAAGAACAAAUUGAAGUGAUAAAUACAUAUUUUGUGAGUGAGCCUUUCUGAACUAAUAAAAUAUUUGAUUCAUUAUUCCUCCUCUGAAACUCUGUGUAACUUAACCUGAAAGGACAGCCUGGAGGUUAUUAUGCUUUUAAUGCUAACCGACAAUUUGCUCAGCCACCAAUUUUCCUCAAGAAGCAUUGCCAUGGUGAAUUCUGUCACACCUGCCAAUCACUUCUACACUCCAUUCAUUUACCAGAACUUUUCCUAUGCCAUCGGCUUCAUCAGGGGCCCUGUGACCAGAACGCAGCACUUCUUCUCCACCAUCUUAAGCCAGGGAGACAGAAGAUGGAUAACGCAGACAUGUAGCAAAAAGAGCAAGGAUCUGCAUCUCGGUGUGGGCUGCCGUGACUCAACCAGCCUCCUCAGGGGGAACGAACCUCGUAAGAGACCAAGAGAAAAAUAGAGGUCUUAUAAAAUCCAAUAAAGAAUCUUUUUGUCUGAGAUGCUAGCUGUUA